ensembl:lncRNA
CUUUCUUUACCUUCACUUUGGCUGGCUUAGCCUUCUCCUUCACAGGUUCUGCUUUAGCCUUCUCCUUCACAGGUUCUGGCUUAGCUUUCUCCUUUACAGCUUCUGGCUUAGCCUUCUCCUUUACAGCUUCUGGCUUACCCUUCUUUACAGCUUCUGGCUUAGUCUUCUUUACAGGGGUGGGUUCUGCUUUAGCCUUCUCCUUUGCAGGUUCUGGCUUAGCUUUCUCCUUUACAGCUUCUUGCUUAGCUUUUUCCUUUACAGCUUCUUGCUUAGCUUUCUCCUUUGCAGGUUCUGGCUUAGCUUUCUCCUUCACAGGUUCUGGUUUAGCUUUCUCCUUUACAGGGACGGGUUCUGCUUUAGCCUUCUCCUUCACAGGUUCUGCUUUAGCCUUCUCCUUCACAGGUUCUGCUUUAGCCUUCUCCUUUGCAGGGUCUGGUUUAGCUUCAUCCUUUACAGGUGCAGGUUCUGGCUUAGCCUUCCUUACAGGGGUGGGUUCUGCUUUAGCCUUCUCCUUUGCAGGUUCUGCUUUAGCCUUCUCCUUCACAGCUUCUGGCUUAGUCUUCUUUACAGGGGUGGGUUCUGCUUUAGCCUUCUCCUUUGCAGGUUCUGGCCUAGCCUUCUCUUUUACAGAUUCUGGACUAGCUUUCUCCUUCACAGGUUCUGCUUUAGCCUUCUCCUUCACAGGGGUGGGUUCUAGCUUAGCAUUCUCCUUCACAGGUACAGGCUUAGCCUUUUCUUUCAAAGGUGCAGCCUUGUCUUCCUCCUUCACAGGUACAGGCUUAACCUUUUCUUUCAAAGGUGCAGCCUUGUCUUCCUCCUUCACAGGUACAGGCUUAGCCUUUUCUUUCAAAGGUGCAGCCUUGUCUUCCUCCUUCACAGGUACAGGCUUAGCCUUUUCUUUCAAAGGUGCAGCCUUGUCUUCCUCCUUCACAGGUACAGGCUUAGCCUUUUCUUUCAAAGGUGCAGCCUUAUCUUCCUCCUUCACAGGUACAGGCUUAGCUUUUUCUUUCAAAGGUGCAGCCUUGUCUUCCUCCUUCACAGGAACAGGCUUAGCUUUUUCUUUAGUUGGUUCUGGUCUAGCUUUCGCUUUAGGGAGCUCUGGCUUAACUUUCUCCUUAGCAGGCUCUGGCUUGGCUUUUUCCUUUACAGGCUCAGGCUUUGCUUUCUCCUUCAUGGUUUCUGGUUUAGCUUUUUCCUUAACAGCUUCUGGCUUUACCUUCUCUUUAGCAGGUUCUUUUUUAGCUUUGUCCUUCACAGGUUCUGCCUCAGCUUUCUCCUUCAUGGGUACUGGCUUAGCUUUUUCUUUUGCAGGUGCAGGUUCUGGUUUAGUCUUCUCUACUGCUGGUUCUGGCUCAGUUUUCUCCUUCAGAGCUUCUUUCUUAGCCUUUUCUUUCAGGGUCUUCAUUUUCUCCUUCACUGGUUCUGGCUUAACCUCCUCCCUUGUGGGCACUGGCUUUGCAGUUUCUUUUACAGUUAUUUUCUUAGCGGUUUCCUUUCCAGGUUCAAGCUUAAGUUCUUCCUUUUUGGGCUUAGGCUCAGCUUUCUCCUUCACAGGUUCUGGUGUAGCCUUCUCUUUUACAAGUUCUUCCUUAGCUCUCUCCUUUUUGGGCUCUGGCUUUGCCUUCUCUGCAAUGGGCUUUGGUUUGGCCUUGUCCUUAGGAGAUUCUGGCCUAGGUUUCUCCUCCUUGAAUUCUACCAUAGCUUCUUCCUUAUCGGUAGUAGGUUCUGGUUUAGCCUUCUCCUUUACGGAUUCUAGCUUGGCUUUCUGCUUUUCUGGUUCUGGCUUAGUCUUCUCCGUAAUGGGUUCUUGCUUAGGUUUCUCUUUUUCAGAUUUUGGCUUAGCUUUUUCCUUUACCGAUGCAGGCUCUGGCUUAGCUUUUACCUUUACCGAUGCAGGCUCUGGCUUAGCUUGCACCUUUACCGAUGCAGGCUCUGGCUUAGGUUCUUCUUUUACAGAUGCAGGCUCUGGCUUAGCUUUUUCCUUUACCGAUGCAGGCUCUGGCUUAGCUUGCACCUUUACCGAUGCAGGCUCUGGCUUAGCUUUUUCCUUUACCGAUGCAGGCUCUGGCUUAGCUUUUUCCUUUACCGAUGCAGGCUCUGGCUUAGCUUGCACCUUUACCGAUGCAGGCUCUGGCUUAGCUUUUUCCUUUACCGAUGCAGGCUUAGGUUCUUCUUUUACAGGUUCUGGUUUAUCUUUUUCCUUCACAGGUACAGGUGGAGGUGCAGGUUCUGAAUU